GCGUCCGUAGCUCAGUGGCAAGAGCACGACUCUCCGAAGGUCGGGGUCGGUGGUUCGAGUCCACCCGGACGCGCCA
rnacentral:tRNA from 1 species